GACGAACGCUGGCGGCGUGCUUAACACAUGCAAGUCGAACGGAAAGGCCCUGCUUUUGUGGGGUGCUCGAGUGGCGAACGGGUGAGUAACACGUGAGUAACCUGCCCUUGACUUUGGGAUAACUUCAGGAAACUGGGGCUAAUACCGGAUAGGAGCUCCUGCUGCAUGGUGGGGGUUGGAAAGUUUCGGCGGUUGGGGAUGGACUCGCGGCUUAUCAGCUUGUUGGUGGGGUAGUGGCUUACCAAGGCUUUGACGGGUAGCCGGCCUGAGAGGGUGACCGGCCACAUUGGGACUGAGAUACGGCCCAGACUCCUACGGGAGGCAGCAGCGGGGAAUAUUGCACAAUGGGCGGAAGCCUGAUGCAGCAACGCCGCGUGCGGGAUGACGGCCUUCGGGUUGUAAACCGCUUUCGCCUGUGACGAAGCGUGAGUGACGGUAAUGGGUAAAGAAGCACCGGCUAACUACG
rnacentral:rRNA from 1 species